rnacentral:rRNA from 1 species
AAUGGGCGGAAGCCUGAACCAGCCAUGCCGCGUGCAGGAUGACGGCCCUACGGGUUGUAAACUGCUUUUCCCCGGGAAGAAUAAGCCCCUCGUGAGGGGUGAUGCCGGUACCGGGGGAAUAAGGAUCGGCUAACUCCGUGCCAGCAGCCGCGGUAAUACGGAGGAUCCGAGCGUUAUCCGGAUUUACUGGGUUUAAAGGGUGCGUAGGCGGGCGCCUAAGUCAGCGGUGAAAUGCAGCGGCUCAACCGUUGAACUGCCGUUGAAACUGGGCGCCUUGGAUGCGGUCGAGGCCGGCGGAAUGCGUGGUGUAGCGGUGAAAUGCUUAGAUAUCACGCAGAACGCCAAUUGCGAAGGCAGCUGGCCGGGCCGCAAUCGACGCUGAGGCACGAAAGCGUGGGGAUCAAA